GACAGAGGGUGCGAGCGUUAAUCGGAAUUACUGGGCGUAAAGCGCGCGUAGGCGGCUUGUUAAGUCGGAUGUGAAAUCCCUGGGCUCAACCUAGGCAUUGCAUUCGAUACUGGCAAGCUAGAGUAUGGGAGAGGAAGGUAGAAUUCCAGGUGUAGCGGUGAAAUGCGUAGAGAUCUGGAGGAAUACCGAUGGCGAAGGCAGCCUUCUGGCCUAAUACUGACGCUGAGGUGCGAAAGCAUGGGGAGCAAACAGG
rnacentral:rRNA from 1 species